rnacentral:tRNA from 1 species
GUGCGUAGCUCAGUUGGUAGAGCAACUGACUCUUAAUCAGUGGGUCCAGGGUUCGAAUCCCUGCGCG